ensembl:snRNA U1 U1 spliceosomal RNA
AAUCUCACGCCAGGCAGGGGAGAUACCAUGAUCACAAAGGUGGUUCUCCCAGGGCGAGGCUUAUCCAUUGCACUCCGGAUGUGCUGACCCCUGGGAUUUCCCCAAAUGUGGAUACCUUGACUGCAUAAUUUCUGGUAGCGGGGGACUGUGUUCGCGCUUUCCUCUG